GUAACACAGACCGAACUUCUUUCUUGACGGCAAAGACGAAGCAAUUUCCAUUCCUCCAUGUCCUCCGACAGCUUCUCCGACGAGGCUGACCGCAGCCUCAACCACCUCAUAUCUGGUGACAAUUGAUGCUCUGAAACUUCACCAUUAAAGAUAGUUGAUCCCGGAUGUAAUUUUAACUAGCCGUUACAUCCUCCAAUGUCAAUCUCCGACACUGUUGGCUUCUGCAACCUCAGAUUUCUGGCUCUACACAUGAAUAACGCAUCCGACUCCUUUGAUUACUUGGGGUACUCCACCUGAAACCAUUGAUCCAAUUCCCUUUCAUGGCUACAAUUCCGAGAAGAGCACAAUCUUCUCUUACAUGUCUGACUUGUACAUUUGCAGGACAACGUCUGCCGUAAAUAGUUUCUCCGAUGAACAUCCCAUGUUCUUCAACUGUCUCGUUGACCUCAGCUGCUCCACCUGGAAUCAAGUUUACCUCACCACGGCUCCGGAUGCCUAAAAGGUACAAGGCUUAAAGAGAAACAAUAACAAAGACAAUGGGAAGAACACUAAAGGUGGAGACUCGAACUCCCACUUUCUAUGAAGAUCAUCUUCUUCUCUCUUUGAUAUUCUCUUGUUCUCUAUACUCUUUGAAGACUCCUUAGCUCUCGUGCCAUUACGGCACCAUGCCGUGAACCUCAAUUAGAUUACUUUCUUUGAACGUCUUGUGUCUUCUUAUAUACGGAAAAGAUGUUGCCGACUUGGAUUAGCUAAUGGACUUGAUUUUGGGCUUAGAGACUAAAUGACUGAGGCCCAUAACUUACACAAAGCUUGGCUGCUUCCAAAGUGUAA